AGCUUUGCGCAGUGGCAGUAUCGUAUCCAAUGAGGUUUAUCCAAGGUUUAUGCUAAUUGAAAACUUUUCCCAAUACCCCACCAUGAUGACUUGAAAUACAGUCAGCAUUGACAAUUUUUUACUGUCUCUACGGAGA
rnacentral:snRNA from 1 species